AAAUUGAAGAGUUUGAUCAUGGCUCAGAUUGAACGCUGGCGGCAGGCCUAACACAUGCAAGUCGAACGGUAACAGGAAGAAGCUUGCUUCUUUGCUGACGAGUGGCGGACGGGUGAGUAAUGUCUGGGAAACUACCUGAUGGAGGGGGAUAACUACUGGAAACGGUAGCUAAUACCGCAUAACGUCGCAAGACCA
rnacentral:rRNA from 1 species